rnacentral:rRNA from 1 species
AACGAACGCUGGCGGCAUGCCUAACACAUGCAAGUCGAACGAGACCUUCGGGUCUUGUGGCGCACGGGUGCGUAACGCGUGGGAACCUGCCCUUAGGUUCGGAAUAACUCCCCGAAAGGGGUGCUAAUACCGGAUAAUGUCUUCGGACCAAAGAUUUAUCGCCUUUGGAUGGGCCCGCGUUGGAUUAGCUAGUUGGUAGGGUAAAAGCCUACCAAGGCGACGAUCCAUAGCUGGUCUGAGAGGAUGAUCAGCCACACUGGAACUGAGACACGGCCCAGAAUCCGACGGGAGGCAGCAGAGGGGAAUAUUGGACACUGGGCGAAAGCCUGAUCCAGCAAUGCCGGGUGAGUGAUGAAGGCCUUAGGGUUGUAAAGCUCUUUUACCCGGGAUGAGAAUGACAGUACCGGGAGAAUAAGCUCCGGCUAACUACGUG